AGAAUCAACGCUGGCGGCGUGCCUAACACAUGCAAGUCGAACGAGAAAGUGGAGCAAUCCAUGAGUAAAGUGGCGCACGGGUGAGUAACACGUGACUAACCUACCCUUGAGUGGGGGAUAACCUAGGGAAACCUGGGCUAAUACCGCAUAAUACCUUCGGGUCAAAGGAGCAAUUAGCUUAAGGAGGGGGUCGCGGCCGAUUAGUUAGUUGGCGGGGUAAUGGCCCACCAAGACUGUGAUCGGUA
rnacentral:rRNA from 1 species